AGCGAACGCUGGCGGCAGGCUUAACACAUGCAAGUCGAACGGGCGUAGCAAUACGUCAGUGGCAGACGGGUGAGUAACGCGUGGGAACGUACCUUUUGGUUCGGAACAACCCAGGGAAACUUGGGCUAAUACCGGAUAAGCCCUUACGGGGAAAGAUUUAUCGCCGAAAGAUCGGCCCGCGUCUGAUUAGCUAGUUGGUGUGGUAACGGCGCACCAAGGCGACGAUCUGUAGCUGGUCUGAGAGGACGACCGGCCACACUGGGACUGAGACACGGCCCAGACUCCUACGGGAGGCAGCAGUGGGGGAAUAUUGCGCAAUGGGCGGGAAGCCUGACGCAGCGACGCCGC
rnacentral:rRNA from 1 species